rnacentral:rRNA from 1 species
AACGAACGCUGGCGGCAGGCCUAACACAUGCAAGUCGAACGCCGUAGCAAUACGGAGUGGCAGACGGGUGAGUAACACGUGGGAACGUACCUUUCGGUUCGGAAUAACUCAGGGAAACUUGAGCUAAUACCGGAUACGUGCGAGAGCAGAAAGAUUUAUCGCCGAAAGAUCGGCCCGCGUCCGAUUAGCUUGUUGGUGAGGUAACGGCUCACCAAGGCGACGAUCGGUAGCUGGUCUGAGAGGAUGAUCAGCCACACUGGGACUGAGACACGGCCCAGACUCCUACGGGAGGCAGCAGUGGGAAUAUUGGGCAAUGGGCGGAAGCCUGACCCAGCAACGCCGCGUGGAGGAAGACGGCC